GCCUCCGUAGCUCAGGGGAUAGAGCAAUGGUUUCCUAAACCAUGCGUCGGACGUUCGAAUCGUCUCGGGGGCACCA
rnacentral:tRNA from 1 species